GUUCCUGUCCUGACUUCCUUCAGCGAUGGACAGCAAAGCUGAAGUGAUUCACUGCUCAGCUUUGGGAAACCCACGUGCGAUGGGUGUGCUCCUGUUACAAUGAGAGGACAUCGAGAGCCCAGGAUAAGUCAGCGAAGAGGCUCUUCCGACGGACGGGGAGACCACAGGCGAUGCUUUGCUCAAGGACGGCGCUGUAGGCCUGCAGAGGCCUGCGCCUGGCCCCUCUCUGGGCUCCCAUGAGCUGCCCAGGGGUAUGGUUCGUAGGGAAAACAUUAAGCAGUGCACCCCAGGAGAAAAUGAUGUCAUUGCCUGCCCAAGAGUGAUCUAUUCAUUCAUUAACAACAUAUUUGCUAUCUUUUCCAAUGAUAGAUUAGGUCCUCCCUGCAGAUGCUUUCGUUCCUAACCCAACUCCAAGGACGGGCUAUGCGCCUCCAGCAGCCUGUCAAUCUUCUUCCUGGCCCUGCCCCCCUCACACUCAACACUCACCAACAUACCUUUGAACUUGAUUCUCGGGCCGUCCAAUUGUCAUAGGAUAGGAGGCAGAACCCUAGAAAGGGUUGCUUUACGACUAGCAAUUUGGCUUUUGAAGGAGGUACAGUAUACAAAAGAAAUUAUGUGAGGGAAAAAAAAUCUAACACCUUCUUUACUGAAGUCAGGCCCAAGGUCCAGAUCUGUGUCUUGUGAAAUGAAAUCUGAGGCCAUAAGCAAGUCCCUCACAUCUGGGAUCUUGCCUGUGGCAGAUUCUCUAAAAGCUGAGAUACAACAUGGAAACACGGGAAAGAGCGUUCAUGGAAAGCCUACUAAGUGUCAGGUUUUUCCCAUACCUCACCCCGUGACAGCCGCCUCGUGCAUUAGGUCACCCUCACCUCUGGCGUGGACAGCUAAAGCUUGCACGAAGCAAAGCUUCCGACUCCUGCUUCCUGAACCUGAACACCAUCACCUUCAUGUGUCUCAAAGCCACCCCCCAGCCAGGACCCUUCAAGGAUUUACCACAGACACCACUUUUCCCUGGGACACUGUUCGUUUGCUCGGUAUUCGUGAGAAAGACUGUUCUGAGUGGGCUGGGGGAGUGUUCUGAGCAUAGAGGUGGAGCUGGGUUUGGGAUAGAGUAAGCUGUGAAUGCUUUGUCACAUAAUGUUGGGAGCUGUUUGAGAAGGCUCAGCGGCUAAGAGCACUUUGCUGCUCUUCCAGAAGGCUAGACUUCCAUUCCACACUGGGUGGCUCAAACCGUCUGUAACCGCAACUCUAGAGGAUCUGACGCCCUCUUCUGGCCUCCACGAGCACCCACACCAAUGUGUGCAUACACACACGCACAUACACACACGUGAAUGAAAUGCAUCUUUAAAAUUAGUAUUGGCUUGAGUAAGACACUUUAAAAUGAAUAUAGACUUGCCAAUUUUUAGACCUGUGCAGAGGACCAAAUCACCCCAGUUGUCAUGUUUAUACAGUGGCUGGAUGAGGGCUGUCAUCCUAAUGACCGUCUCAUUGGAUCGUCUGUGGGUGCUGGGUGAAAUCGAUGGUGACAGCCACUUUUGUAAAACGAAGAGAGGGGAGCAAUGCAGAGAGUCACGUUUAUGAAGGGAGCGAUGCUUGUUAGAGGAACUCCUAUCCCAAGGAAGCUUCGGCCUCAAGAACGUGUUUGUCUUGGGCUCCACCUUAAGUGACUACUCCCUCUUGGCCACAAUCUGCCUUGAAAUCUAGGCUCUUUGAUGUGGUGGCAUUUGCAUUACCCUUUGUCCCCAAGGCUCACCCCACCCUCACUCCCCACACUGGCCACAUCUCUAUGUCUCUGUCAUUUCUUCCAGGUGACUCAGUUUCAGCAGGUCCCCCUCCUCUCUUGCUUCAGCCUGAUCACUAAAGCAGUCCUGAAGGCCUCCAGGAGACAGCAGAGCUCGCACCUCCUCCCUUUUGGGUUUUUAACUCCUUCGAAAACCAAAACUGUAGUCCCUAAGCCUUGCUUAGAGGGCACCACUCCAGUCUUUGGACUUCAACACAGCCCCCAGUUGCCUCACUAAAGUAGGACGCAUCCUCAUCUCAAAUUGCAGUCCACGCUUGACGCGCCAAACCGGCACGGAACAGAACUAGCAGUUACCCGAUCACCGUCUGUAGAAUGUUUAGUUUUUCUGUGUGGUCUAUUUUAUUAGAGUGAUAUCAAACAUUGUGUACUCCUUCAUGCCUGGAAAAAAUUUUUUUCAUUUCAUGGGGAAAAAAAAGAUAGAUUGACUCAGGGAAUCAGUGGAUUCAUUGAUGCCUGUGGAAUAGACCCACCAAUUUCCUAUUAUAAAACAUUGUUUUCUGUUAUAAAUAAUAGCGUUAAGUGUAUUCCUAUGUCUAUGGUAGAACAUGUUUUUUUGGUAUUUUAUGGCAUUUGUGAAGGUAGUACAUCUGUAGAGAUGGAGUUUCUUGGCUGAAAUUGGUCUCUGCAUUUUUAGACCUUUUAGAUGGAUUGUUAGUUGCCUUUCAAGAAGUACGAACCUUAAUUGAUUUACUUGUCGAGCAGUGUGUAAGAAUUCUAACUCCACAGCCCAGAGCGUUCACUUUGAUUAAUAGCAAAGUUGGCCGUCUCUUCCUGUGGUUGCUAGCAAUAUUUCUUGGCUUGGCAAUGAACUCCAUUUAUAGCCUCUCCAUUUUAUAAUAUAAGGUGAUUCAUGUUCUCACUGCUUUAUAAAUUUUGUCAACACAUUAAUGCUAUUUUUUACUUAUCUUACAUGUUUUAUUUAGCAUGUUAUUUGGCUUUUCUCUCCUCAGUAUACAAUGUUAUAUUUUUUUCCAGGGUCCAAACGCCACCCUUUCUGAGUUUUCCGACUUUGUUUUAUUUGAAUGAGAACAUGGAUAUAUGUGUGUAUGUGUAUAUAUUCAUGUACACAAUAUAUAUUUCUUUUUCUGUUUUCUGUAAAACAUUAACUGUUUAAUAUAAUUUGGCUUACUUUGGUUUAUGAUGCAAGGUCAGAGUGUGACUUAAUUUGCUGUCACAUAGUUAAUCCAUUAGUUUAACAUAAUUUCCCCUGGCCCCUAACUGCUACUCUUGUCACUUAAUAAAUUCUUAGAUAGUUGUAUUUGGGGACCUUUCUGAGGCUCUCUUUCUGUGUCUUUGAUCUAACUUUCUCUUCUGGCACUUUUACAGCAAUAUUUUAUUUAUUGUGGGUUUAUAGUACUUAAAAAAAUCUAGUGGGGCAAGCUUAUUCACAUUCUUCUUCUCUUUUGAUAUUUUCUUGACAAUUCUCAUACUCUUAUUCUCCUAGCUGAACUUUGCAAUUGUUUUCUCAGGUUCCCAGAAUGCCACUGUAAUUAUGACCAAAAAAGUAGGACAUCUAUAAAUUAGUAUGUAGACUUUCCACUCAGGAACAUGGGGUUUCUUUCCGUUUACUCAACUCUUCCUUUAUUCCUCAGUAUAAAAAUAAUAAAGUUUCGUGAGUGUUGUUUGUUGAUAAA